ACUGGGGGGGGGGGGUUGUCUCUCAGCCCAGAUUGAGAGAGGGCACAGGCCAGGCUGAGGGACCCCACUGGUGCACG
rfam:Myotis brandtii contig324976, whole genome shotgun sequence.